UUGUUGAACCUUCUGGGAGUAGAGCCGGGGCCGCAGGAGGAGGAAGAAGCUGGCUUAGCGGAGACCUCUGCAUGAGGUUUGGUUGGCAGCGGCCACGAAUUCAUUCACAGGGCAGCUACUACGGUGAUGAAAGAGGGACAGCAUCUGGUGGGAGAGAAAGGCCGAAGGGCUGGCUGGAGGGCUGGCGGAAGAACUGCAGCAAGGACUCCUCCCUGUGUGUCAGAAUGCAGACAUGGACAGUGGGGGCUGGAGGAGAUACCCCAGCCUGUGAGAGGGAAGCCACGUGUUGAGGAUGGCAAAGCAACAGGAUAGAGGGAAACUGGAUGGCCAGCACCACGGAGCAGCCAGAGCAGCCCUGGACCGUUAAACUGACACUCAGGCCGAAUGGACUAAACGCAUCAUCGGGAUGUUCCAGGUGAUGGAGACGGAUUUGCAUGUUGAGGUGAUCACUCUGGCUACAGCGUGUGGAAGGUAAAAGCAGUGAGAACAGCCAGAAGCCAUCACAGCCCCCCAAAGAGAGGAGGAUGCCUUGUACCUACAGAGGAGCUAUCAGGGUGGGGCCUGGCCCGCUGGAACACCUUGUGCCUGGUAUAGUGGAAAGAACAUGAACUCUAGUCUCAGGGAGAGCUAAGCUAUACUCCAAGAUGGACUAUUCUGUAGCCAUGACCUUGGGCAAGUUACUUAGCAUCUCAUCUGUAAGUUCAAAUUAAGAUUCUUUCUGUGAGGAGUAUGGCAAAUUAAAGGCAGCCUUCAGACUUGGACUGCAGUAUCAGCUCUUCCCCGGGUCUCCAGCCUGCUCUUCCUCCCCGGAGAUUCUGGACUUGCCAGGCUUCAUAAUCGCAUAAGCCGAUUCUUUAAGAUAGAUCUCUCUCUCUCUUUCUCUCC